AGAGCCAGCGGAAGGGCACCCCGUGGCAGUGCUGGAGUAGCUGUUCGAGUGGGACUGACUGGGCCAAACCGGACCAGACGUGAAGUAGACCGCGCCUGGAGCACCACCCCGCCCUCCCGCGCUCUGCGUGCGCGUACCGAGAGUCUCCCUCCCCCUGUCUUGAGCUGAGUCUAGGGCCUACUGGCGCAUGAGUCCUUGGCUUCCCGCGGCAUGGGCAUCUCUGCGCACCGGUUCUGUCCUGGCCUCAGAGGAACUUUGUCGCGUUCUCUAUCCGCUGGACUAGACGGGUGGGAUGCUUGACACAAAUGGGGCUUGGCUGUGGGGUUCUUUGCAGGGCCGGUUGCAAUGGGCUUGGGGGGAGGCUGUCCAGCCGCUGCUAUGUGGGCCAGUUUGUCCCCUGGCACUUCAUGAGCUGGCAGCGUCACCGGACAAAAGGUCCUAAGCUUUGGGGUGUCCCAGAAGUGGACACAUGGGUUUACUUCCUCUCGGGUCUCACGGGAUCGCUUCCCUCUUGACGAAUUCCGAAGCCUGCCCGGUACAAGUGGCUCCUGCUUGGGACUCACAGGGCUAAUCCAGCCCUUCUGAUCUAAUCCGGAUCAGGACCUCGUCCGGGGGGAUGCCCCCACCUUCUAUUGUUCUGGGGCCCAGGUGAGCGUCUCAUUCUCACUAGACUGGUUUAAAACACCUACUCCUUCCUAGUCAGCCCCCUGGGAAGGGAUGGGCGGGUUCCGGUUUGGCCUCAGGGCGAGUGACCUGGGAGCAAGAGCCCUCCUCCAAUGGCUGGACAGCGGGCAACGGAAUCCCAAAAGCAGCUGUUGUCUCCAGAGCAUUCCAGCUGCACUUGGAUUUCGUUCCCUGCUCUCCUGCCUGAGCAGCGCCCUGGCCCAGAUAAUGUGGUCUCUAUUCUCAGAAACACUACACUAGUGGGCCAUUCUGAUCUCCAUCUCUCAGGUGCACCCCCAGACUGAUGGUGGCAGGCAGAGGCGACGAAAAGAGCUCGGGCUGAUGGCCCUCUCUGGAAUCCCUGGAGAACUCUGACCAGGGAGGUCCUGGGUCCUCUCUGUAGGGCCGCAAUGGCGGUGAGUCCCACAAGGCCGCCCAGCCCGCAGCUCGCUAAAGAUAGAUCUUCACUUCCUGGGGAAAAAAACCACCCUAACCGUCUUCAUGGAGGGAGAGUAACAAAAAUCACCAACUUGCUGGUGGGUCCCAGCCCUGCUUGCAGCUGAACCCACACCACAGCAUGGAAAGUGCUUUGGAAUGACACGAUUACUCCCGUUGAGUGGGCACCCAAGAAGCCAUCGGGAAUGUCGUGUCCGCCCAGUGCUCUUUCGGCACCUCCCAAACAGGGCCUCAUAGCCCGGGCCUUCCCGAACUUUUCCUAUCUCUAGAUGUCACUCCUCUCCGGAGCAAAGUUCACCGGUUGGAUUCACUCAUUACUGGGGGAAGUGGAGUUUCACAUUACUUGGAAUCGAAAGCGUUUGGACAUAGAAAAGCUCGCCUGCAGCUUGCUCUACCUGAGAGCUCUGCUUAUUUGGGUCUUCUCAUCAUCACAUUUGUCUUAAACUGGCCAGUUGCCUAAAGAACCAAAGGUGCCGGUAACACCAGUUUAAAGGAAAAACAUUAAAGGCUGGUAAUCCUGGAA
ensembl:lincRNA RIKEN cDNA 4833445I07 gene